rnacentral:rRNA from 1 species
GGGAACUGCGUUNUGAACUGGGUGACUAGAGUGUGUCAGAGGGAGGUAGAAUNCCACGUGUAGCAGUGAAAUGCGUAGAGAUGUGGAGGAAUACCGAUGGCGAAGGCAGCCUCCUGGGAUAACACUGACGUUCAUGCCCGAAAGCGUGGGUAGCAANCAGGAUUAGAUACCCUGGUAGUCCACGCCCUAAACGAUGUCGAUUAGCUGUUGGGCAGCAUGACUGCUUAGUAGCGAAGCUAACGCGUGAAAUCGACCGCCUGGGGAGUACGGUCGCAAGAUUAAAACUCAAAGGAAUUGACGGGGACCCGCACAAGCGGUGGAUGAUGUGGAUUAAUUCGAUGCAACGCGAAGAACCUUACCUGGUCUUGACAUGUACGGAACCCUCCAGAGACGGAGGGGUGCCUUCGGGAGCCGUAACACAGGUGCUGCAUGGCUGUCGUCAGCUCGUGUCGUGAGAUGUUGGGUUAAGUCCCGCAACGAGCGCAACCCUUGUCAUUAGUUGCCAUCAUUAAGUUGGGCACUCUAAUGAGACUGCCGGUGACAAGCCGGAGGAAGGUGGGGAUGACGUCAAGUCCUCAUGGCCCUUAUGACCAGGGCUUCACACGUCAUACAAUGGUCGGUACAGAGGGUAGCCAAGCCGCGAGGUGGAGCCAAUCUCACAAAACCGAUCGUAGUCCGGAUUGCACUCUGCAACUCGAGUGCAUGAAGUCGGAAUCGCUAGUAAUCGCAGGUCAGCAUACUGCGGUGAAUACGUUCCCGGGUCUUGUACACACCGCCCGUCACACCAUGGGAGUGGGGGAUACCAGAAGUAG